UUUAGUUAGGAAUUUUUUGUUUAGUUAAGAAUUUUCUACAAUGCCCAUGAGAUCUGGACAGCCUGUUAGAAUGAACUUAUAAACGGAUGGUUGGAACUAGUGGAAUGACUGGAUGAACAGAGGCAACAUAUGAAGAAUUGCCAGUUGGAUGAGGCAACAUAUGAAGAACAGAGGCAACAUAGCGUUGUAACUUGAAACAAAAUUAUCAAGUAACUUCAUGUCUCUGUUGCGCUUACAUGAUUAUUUCAUUGGAACUUGCACAUCUUUCUUACAUGUCUAGAGACAAAUUGCUUACACAAGUUGUUUACAUAAAUCGAAUGGGUAUUAAGUUAAAAUCAUGAUUGGAAUGUACUCACUAAUAUGACUUAGUCGGGUAGAUAAGGGUUCUUAGAAAAUUAUCAGGCUCAUGGUUUUGUACUGAGGCAGUUGAGUAUUUACAUCAUGUUUACUAUCUUCAGUGUAUGAAUUAUAUAAACAAUCGAUUGCUUUUUAUGCAUCUGUUGUAGUUGAUUAUUUACAGGUAUGUUAAAUGACAACUUAUGUUGCUUAUACAUAAUAUGACUUUGUUAUUAACUUGCUAACAACUUUUAUACAACCAUAUAUGAUUUUAUCUGUAGAGCCUUUCUGCACUUCUGCAUAUUGACAAGAUAUUUAAUUUAAACUAGGAUAUUAUGAAAAUCUGCAGGAGCAUGCUAACUAUUUUGUGUAAAUAUUAUUGAAAAUCCUCAGUAGUAACUCUGCAGUUUUUAGUCUUCUGUUUUCAAACCACUGGUUUAGUUGGUGGGCUAUCAGCUUACGUAUAUGGACAUCCCUCAUAUCAUAAUUUGUUUCAAGUUAGGUUCAAUUGCAGUGAAACAGAAUGACAUUGUUACUUCAAGUUACGUAUAUGGCAAAUAUAUGAAGAACUGCCAGAAUAUUUGGAGGAGGUGUUGUCAUUGGAACUUGCGCGUCAAAUAGGC
rnacentral:lncRNA from 1 species